rnacentral:ncRNA from 18 species
CGUUUUGAGACAAUGGUAUAUCAUACCGAUCGAGCAACGCGCUCUGCGCGGAACUCCCCGCUUCUCCUCCCUGAGCGGGUGCCUGUCGUUAUUCGAUUAGGCUGUUCACCCGCCGUACUGCGGCGGGUUUUUUGUGCGCCGAGCAUGCGCAACAGCUU